rnacentral:rRNA from 1 species
GUUUGAUCAUGGCUCAGGACGAACGCUGGCGGCGUGCUUCACACAUGCAAGUCGAGCGGAAAGGCCCUUCGGGGUACUCGAGCGGCGAACGGGUGAGUAACACGUGAGUAACCUGCCCCUAGCACCGGGAUAGCUCCGGGAAACCGGAAUUAAUACCGGAUAUGACCACGAUCGGCAUCGGCCGUGGUGGAAAGGAUUCCGGCUAGGGAUGGACUCGCGGCCUAUCAGCUAGUUGGUUGGGGUAACGGCCCACCAAGGCGACGACGGGUAGCCGGCCUGAGAGGGCGACCGGCCACACUGGGACUGAGACACGGCCCAGACUCCUACGGGAGGCAGCAGUGGGGAAUCUUGCACAAUGGAGGCAACUCUGAUGCAGCGACGCCGCGUGAGCGAUGAAGCCCCUCGGGGUGUAAAGCUCUUUCGGCAGGGACGAUAAUGACGGUACCUGAAGAAGAAGCUGCGGCUAACUACGUGCCAGCAGCCGCGGUAAUA